rnacentral:tRNA from 1 species
AGGGUGGUAGUACAACGGUUAGUAUGGGGAUCUCCAAAGUCCUUGAUCUGAGUUCGAUUCUCAGCCGCCCUGCCA